UGCCAGCAGCCGCGGUAAUACGAAGGUCCCAAGCGUUGUUCGGAAUUACUGGGCGUAAAGCGUCUGUAGGCGGCGCGGUAAGUCAGAUGUGAAAUCCCGGGGCUCAACCCCGGAACUGCAUCCGAUACUGCCGUGCUUGAGUAUUGGAGGGGAGUCUGGAAUUCUCGGUGUAGCAGUGAAAUGCGUAGAUAUCGAGAGGAACACUAGUGGCGAAGGCGAGACUCUGGACAAUAACUGACGCUGAGAGACGAAGGCCAGGGUAGCGAAAAGGAUUAGAUA
rnacentral:rRNA from 1 species